UAUUUUAUUGUGUAUGCAACAGUCCCUCCAGGAUUUCGCGAUGUUGCGAUCGCGCCAAUUCACGCAAAUCCAACC